GCUGUUCUGAGUUUUUGUAUUUUCUCUGAACCUUAGAACUUUUGUAGGUGACCCUGCUGCACUGUGACACCUGCAGAAGGAAGGCAAAUGCGGUGUCAGGACGGACCCGACGGAGUUUGAUUGACUUACGUGCUAGGGAUGCGUGUGCUCUGCCAGAAGGUUGCCGGCUUCAAAAAACCUAACACCUGGAAAGGUAUGCGGAUGGCUCCCAGGAUAUAUUGAUUGGCUACCUGAAGAGUUGCCUUUUAUUUGGUUUUCGGUCAUAUCAGUCCCUCCCCAGUCAUGAUUCAGCCAGACCUUUCUGAAGACAUGGAUCUAAGUGCUCAAGCACUAUGUGCCACCUGUGGCCAAGUCCACUCCCCUGAGGAGAACCAUUUCUAUAGCUAUGCUGAGGAAGUGGAUGAUGACCUCAUCUGCCACAUCUGUCUGCAAGCUCUGCUGGAGCCCCUGGACACUCCCUGUGGCCAUACCUACUGCACACUCUGCCUCACCAACUUCUUAGUGGAAAAAGACUUUUGCCCCGUGGAUCGCAAGACGAUCAUCUUACAGAACUGCAAAAAGUCCAGUAUCCUAGUAAAUAAGCUCUUAAAUAAACUGAUGGUGACCUGCCCUUUCACAGAACACUGUUCAGAGGUUUUGCAGCGCUGUGACCUGGAAUACCAUUUUCA